GUUGAUGUAGCAGUCUGUAAGAUUUCUCUGUAUGAAGAGGAAAAGGACAGAAAAAUGCAGCCUUUAUUUUGUCCUUAUCAGCUAUAAAACCUCACCUUAUUUUGUAUGAGAAUGGCAGGUUAGUAUCUAUUAUUUAAAUUCCCUCUUUUCAGAUCUAAUCUUGUUUCCAUGGUUAAAUCAACACUUUGUAGGGAUUUAUGAACACUCAGAAAUUCCACGAAACCUGGGAUUCAGAGAGUCAGGGAGGAGAAUUAAAAUCCUGGAAAGCCUGUGAACACAUAGGCAAAUCACAUAGAUGGAAGGAAAAUAAGUGUUUUAAAGAGGAUUUCUGUCUGGGAGGGUGCCGUGUGGAAUAAUUUUCAUCAGAUGCAUUGGGCAAUAAGUGAAGGAAUGGUCUCUUUGGUUCAGCCCCAGCCCAAAUCAGCAAUUGUUGCUAUUCUGAUAGCAGCAAAGUGGUCUGUGGGAAAUGAUGUGGAGGUCUCACUCCAGUCUUAUGAAUAGUUUUUCAUUACAUGAAAGCAGUAAUGAACUGAGCAAAAAAGGAAAUGGUGGAGGUAGUUGUGAAGACUGAACCUCCUCUUACCCUGCAUUUCAGGGCUAAGAGGUACAGGCAGAGUCAGAAGGAGUGCAGGAACCGAAUGGAUCAGCACUACAGCUCUUUUGUGGGGAACUUGGGUACUUUAGCCAAGAGGGCUGGCAGUUUGGUACAUCCCACAAACAUCAAAGUCAUGGGAUGGGACUCGUUUGUGUUGCUUACAUCAUAUGCUGGAUUUAGACGACCUCCAGUGUUACCAUGGCAACGGUUUCUGCUUAAGUAUAGGUGAGAAUGUAAGUUAAUUUUAAAUAAGGUGAAAUGAAGGAGGGGGUGAAUAAAGCUCUCAAAAGCAUUUGAAGCCA
rnacentral:lncRNA from 1 species